rnacentral:piRNA from 1 species
UGGUUAUUUCCCUGGAAAAUAAAGUGAUC